UCUUUGUGGCGCUCCGGUGCAGCUCAUGUGCGAGUACCAUAUGUGGGGGUUCAGUGGUGGGAGUCAGAUGGGUGCUCACAGCCGCCCACUGUGUCUCCGAACUAGAAACGGGCAGAAUCCGCUCCGACUUUAGGAUUUUUUUGGGCGAUUAUACUUUAGAAAGGGGCUUCCGCAGAGUGGUUCACCCCUCAAGAAUCUUCGUAGCUCCUGGCUUCAACCAGAGGGGCGUUCAUCCCACCAACGACAUCGCACUCGUCAAACUAGUGGAGCAAGUGAGGCCUGAAAAGAUCAUUACAUUGUGCAGGAGUGAAGUGGAUCAUGGAACACAUGUGCGCAUGAGUGGACUAGGCGCCACUUCUA